GGGAAGGUGGCCGAGUGGUUUAAGGCGUUGGCUUUAGGCGCCAAUGGGUUCGCCCGCGCGAGUUCGAACCUCGUCCUUCUCA
rfam:Saitoella complicata NRRL Y-17804 DNA, contig: contig012, whole genome shotgun sequence.